rnacentral:rRNA from 1 species
AUUGAACGCUGGCGGCAGGCCUAACACAUGCGAGUCGAACGGUAACAGGAAACAGCUUGCUGUUUCGCUGACGAGUGGCGGACGGGUGAGUAAUGUCUGGGAAACUGCCUGAUGGAGGGGGAUAACUACUGGAAACGGUAGCUAAUACCGCAUAACGUCGCAAGACCAAAGAGGGGGACCUUCGGGCCUCUUGCCAUCAGAUGUGCCCAGAUGGGAUUAGCUAGUAGGUGGGGUAACGGCUCACCUAGGCGACGAUCCCUAGCUGGUCUGAGAGGAUGACCAGCCACACUGGAACUGAGACACGGUCCAGACUCCUACGGGAGGCAGCAGUGGGGAAUAUUGCACAAUGGGCGCAAGCCUGAUGCAGCCAUGCCGCGUGUAUGAAGAAGGCCUUCGGGUUGUAAAGUACUUUCAGCGGGGAGGAAGGGAGUAAAGUUAAUACCUUUGCUCAUUGACGUUACCCGCAGAAGAAGCACCGGCUAACUCCGUG